rnacentral:piRNA from 1 species
UAUAUACAUAUAUAUGCAUUGUGUAUA